GUCUUUGAAAAAUCUUAUAAAAAAAAAUUAUCAAACAAAACUAUAUAGAUCAAUGAAAAAAAUAUGAAGAUGAAAAUUUCAUAAUUCUAUACACACCUUACAUGUAUUUCAAUGAAAUAUUGAAUAUAUCAAACAACAUUUUUAAACCAAACUGUGGUUUGGGUCCUGUCUGUGUUGUUAUUUCACCUAAUUAAUAUCACAAUGUUUUUAUUGCAAUCAAAUCUUCUCAACUUAUGUUUGUCCUCACAGAACCCUUAGGCAUUUCACAAGAUAAUCCUUUAAUGACACAUUUAUUAUAUAUCCCCUUGAAAUCCUUAAUGAUGUCUUAAUGAUUAAGUGAUCAAUGUUAGAAACAAAAUUAUAUGAUAAUUUAUUUAUUUUUUACCACCACCUAAGAAACUUAAAAGUGACUUUUUCAGUUUCAUGCCUCCUACUACUCAAUCAAAGGGUAUAGACACAGGUAAGGUGCAGUACAUGAUGUUGACAUCUACUUGUCUGAGCCAUGUGAAGAAAUUUCAAUCAAUGCACUGGAAUAAUGGAAGUCAAAUUCAGUGUGCCUUUCUUCUUUGGUUAAUACAGCUAUCAAGUAUUUAGCCAUUUCCCACACAUAAGCUCCUGUAGAAAGGCUUUUAAGUAUUGCCGGAAAGGUGUACAGAACUGAUCGCUGUUCUCUUAAUGGCAUCACAUUUAAACCACUUAUGAUGAUAAAGUGCAAUGGAC
rnacentral:lncRNA from 1 species